CCCGUGGCCAGGAGCUGAUCCGCAAGGGCAUCCCACACCACUUCCGGGCCAUCGUGUGGCAACUCCUGUGCAGCGCCACGGACAUGCCAGUCAAGAACCAGUACUCCGAGCUGCUCAAGAUGUCCUCGCCAUGCGAGAAGCUGAUCCGCAGGGACAUCGCCCGCACCUACCCGGAACACGAGUUCUUCAAGGGCCAGGACAGCCUAGGCCAGGAGGUCCUCUUCAACGUCAUGAAGGCAUACUCGCUGGUAGACCGGGAGGUGGGCUACUGCCAGGGAAGCGCCUUCAUCGUGGGCCUGCUCCUCAUGCAGAUGCCUGAGGAGGAGGCCUUCUGUGUGUUCGUGCGGCUGAUGCAGGAGUACCGGCUGCGGGAGCUCUUCAAACCCAGCAUGGCCGAGCUCGGGCUCUGCAUCUAUCAGUUCGAGUACAUGCUGCAGGAGCAGCUCCCAGACCUCAACACCCACUUCCGUUCCCAAAGCUUCCACACAUCCAUGUAUGCCUCGUCCUGGUUCCUCACACUGUUUCUGACCACCUUCCCACUCCCCGUCGCCACGCGGGUCUUCGACAUCUUCAUGUAUGAGGGGCUGGAGAUCGUGUUCCGAGUGGGCCUCGCCCUGCUGCAGGUGAACCAGGCGGAGCUGAUGCAGCUGGACAUGGAGGGGAUGUCCCAGGCUUUUAAAUCAUUGGGAUUAUAUGUGUGAGCCACCACAUCCAGCAUCUGCCUGCUUUUCUUCUGGAAACUAAGACUUUGGCUGCAGGCAGCCCCCUAUUCCCUCCCCUCACGCUCAGUCUUUCCGUUGCUCCACAAACACUGAGGACACGGCGUUGAGGACAUGGCGACACCCCGGGCAGACCGGUUCCUGCCCCCCUC
rnacentral:sRNA from 1 species